GGACUACCGGGGUAUCUAAUCCCGUUUGCUCCCCUGGCUUUCGCGCCUCAGCGUCAGAAAAGGUCCAGCCCGUCGCUUUCGCCACCGGCGUUCCUUCGGAUAUCAACGCAUUUCACCGCUCCACCCGAAGUUCCACAGGCCCCUACCUCCCUCCAGACGAGUCGUCUCCAAGGCACUUCCCCAGUUAAGCUGGGGGCUUUCACCCCGGACUGGCUCGCCCGCCUACGCGCCCUUUAAGCCCAGUGAUUCCGAACAACGUUAGGACGGUUCGUCUUACCGCGGCUGCUGGCAC
rnacentral:rRNA from 3 species